AAUAAGUGAAGCAUUCAUUCGUGUACAAUAUUAGCAUGUAGGCCUAGGAUAUGGUUCCAUUCUUAGACACCGAUAUUCUUUAAACAUAAGGAAAUACUUCAUAAGAAGCCCUAUAUAUUGCAUUGAUGAUAGAUUCAUAGGUUAAAAGGCAUGAAACCAGUUUAUGGUAAGCAAAACUACAUAGAAGAGAUGCAUCAUGUAGAUUGCUUUGAUUCCCCAACUUCUGGUAAUUAAGAUAUAUAGUCUUUCGCCGUCCUCAUAAUUAACCUUUUGCUUCAUGUCUUCCAUGCGCUUCUGCAGAAUAAAAGUGUACAAUAAAGGAAUAGGAAAACCAGCUGUAGUUGCACACACAAAAACAUUUGGGGAAAGAACAUUUUGAAGAAGUUAAGACCUUACUUAGUGAUUGGCAGUGAAAAUACGACGCGGGGAAAAUAGAUGCACAUAUACCAUUUCUAUUCUACAACAGAGAAAAAUAAAACAACCAACCGAAGGGACAUAUCAGUCUUUAUGUAGUGGUUGGAGGUUAUACUAUUAAAUUUUGACGAGUGAGAACCCAUGAACGCAAAUGAAAUUUAAUAGUAUCAUUGCUAUAAAUGUGAUGCAAUGAAGCUCCACAUUCAGUAUGAUUUUCUUAUUUCUUUUUAGACAUUUAACAAGGAAAGGCGCAGAAAUUGGAAAACACUUCAAACCAUAUUAUUUUUACCUGUGAUCUUGUCAAUUAAGUUCAUUUAUGGCACCACCUCUUCUGAUCUCACCUUGGCCACUUAACUCAUCAGUGACCAUGGAUACCCGUAACAGGUAAUCCAUGUCAGUCUAUGAUAUAAAUAGGGGGGAUACAGGUAGUUUCGUACCGCGGAUAAUGUGUUCCCCACCAGCUAAAGUGAUUCUCUUUCGUGCAUAUUUAGGUGCUGACUAAAUAUGGUUUAAAAGGAUAAAUCAGUAGGAGAAAAGAAAGUGAUAAACAAGAUUCUUUUUCUUCGUGUAAAUUUACCUUCUUUGUUGAUUUUCCUACGAUAUCUGGUCCGUGAAAUCAUUUGUUUCUUUG
rnacentral:lncRNA from 1 species